GGGGGGCGUCCCGGGGCUUCUUUCGCGGGAGCCCCGGUCGGCGCCCUCCGGGGCCGAUCCUCGACAGACCGUCGCCGCCGGUGUCUCUUCCCACACCAAAGCGGGGCCAAGACGGGAGCGGCGCGGGGUGAGACCCUUUCCCCCGUCGUCCGACUCCCGGCCCCGUGGGUACCCGGCGAGCGCGGCAGUCCGGUGGUCCCUCUCCUCUCGGGGGGAGGAGGCCACCGCCUGUACGCAGGGGGGCGCAGGCCCGGGACUUGCCAUUAGACGCCGUCGCGCAAAUCUGUUGUUGGCCUCGCCGGCUCUGCUUGGGCUCUCGGUUGGCGGGCCGCGCGUCAGGCGGGCUUUAGGGCGGGGGCAUCCCCGUCCGGGUCCGUCCCGCGCGGUUUUGCCUUCCGAUCCUGCUCUGUCCGGAGUGGCCUAGCGCGCGUGCUGUCGGCAAGUACCAUGAGCAGACAUGUUGGGACCCGAAAGAUGGUGAACUAUGCCUGGCCAGGAUGAAGCCAGAGGAAACUCUGGUGGAGGUCCGCAGCAAUUCUGACGUGCAAAU
rnacentral:rRNA from 1 species